AUUGAACGCUGGCGGCAGGCCUAACACAUGCAAGUCGAACGAGUGGCGGACGGGUGAGUAAUGUCUGGGAAACUGCCUGCUGGAGGGGGAUCACUACUGGAAACGGUAGCUAAUACCGCAUACCAUCAGAUGUGCCCAGAUGGGAUUAGCUUGUUGGUGGGGUAACGGCUCACCAAGGCGACGAUCCCUAGCUGGUCUGAGGGGAUGACCAGCCACACGGGAACUGGGAAACGGCCCAGAUUCCUACGGGAGGCGGCAGUGGGGAAUAUUUCACAUUGGGCGCAAGCCUGAUGCGGCCAUGCCGGGUGUAUGAAGAAGGCCUUCGGGUUGAAAAGUACUUUCAGCGGGGAGGCGUUACCCGCAGAAGAAGCACCGGCUAACUCCGUGCCAGCAGCCGCGGUAAUUC
rnacentral:rRNA from 1 species